AGUGAACGCUGGCGGCAGGCCUAACACAUGCAAGUCGAGCGGCAGCGCGGGGGCAACCCUGGCGGCGAGCGGCGGACGGGUGAGGAAUUCGUCGGAAUCUGCCUUUUUGUGGGGGAUAACGUAGGGAAACUUACGCUAAUACCGCAUACGUCCUACGGGAGAAAGUGGGGGACCGCAAGGCCUCACGCAGAAAGAUGAGCCGACGACCGAUUAGCUAGUUGGUGGGGUAAAGGCCCACCAAGGCGGCGAUCGGUAGCUGGUCUGAGAGGAUGAUCAGCCACACUGGGACUGAGACACGGCCCAGACUCCUACGGGAGGCAGCAGUGGGGAAUAUUGGACAAUGGGCGCAAGCCUGAUCCAGCCAUGCCGCGUGUGUGAAGAAGGCCUUCGGGUUGUAAAGCACUUUUGUCCGGAAAGAAAUCCCUGGAGCUAAUACCUUCGGGGGAUGACGGUACCGGAAGAAUAAGCACCGGCUAACUUCGUG
rnacentral:rRNA from 1 species